GUGGGGAAUAUUGCGCAAUGGUCGAAAGACUGACGCAGCGACGCCGCGUGUGGGAGGAAGCCUUUCGGGGUGUAAACCACUGUCAGAUGGGAAGAACACUACUGGGUCCAAUAGGCCUUGUAGCUGACGGUACCAUCAGAGGAAGCACCGGCUAACUCCGUGCCAGCAGCCGCGGUAAUACGGAGGGUGCAAGCGUUGUUCGGAAUUACUGGGCGUAAAGCGCGGGCAGGUGGUUUGUUAAGUUCCCUGUGAAACUCCGAGGCUCAACCUCGGACAUGCAGGGGAUACUGGCAGACUGGAGACUGGUAGAGGCUGGCGGAAUUCCUGGUGUAGCGGUGGAAUGCGUAGAUAUCAGGAAGAACACCGGUGGCGAAGGCGGCCAGCUGGGCCAGGUCUGACACUCAGCCGCGAAAGCGUGGGGAGCAAACAGG
rnacentral:rRNA from 1 species